rnacentral:misc_RNA from 1 species
GGACUACACGGGUAUCUAAUCCUGUUUGCUCCCCACGCUUUCGCUCCUCAGCGUCAGUGCCGGCCCAGAGAACCGCCUUCGCUACUGGUGUUCCUCCCGAUAUCUGCGCAUUUCACCGCUACACCGGGAAUUCCAUUCUCCUCUACCGGACUCGAGUCACAGCAGUAUCGACUGCAAUUCCGAGGUUGAGCCUCGGACUUUCACAGCCGACUUGCUGAACCGCCUACGAGCUCUUUACGCCCAAUGAUUCCGGAUAACGCUCGGACCCUACGUAUUACCGCGGCGGCUGGCAC